rnacentral:rRNA from 1 species
CCUACGGGUGGCUGCAGUGAGGAAUAUUGGUCAAUGGACGAGAGUCUGAACCAGCCAAGUAGCGUGAAGGAUGACUGCCCUAUGGGUUGUAAACUUCUUUUAUAAGGGAAUAAAGUGAGGGACGUGUCCCUUUUUGUAUGUACCUUAUGAAUAAGGAUCGGCUAACUCCGUGCCAGCAGCCGCGGUAAUACGGAGGAUCCGAGCGUUAUCCGGAUUUAUUGGGUUUAAAGGGAGCGUAGGUUGACGUAUAAGUCAGCUGUGAAAGUUUACGGCUC